GUCAGGGGUGACCAGGACAUGUCAUUUGCAUCAUAUGCAUUAUUACAUUUAUUGCUUGUAUUUGUUGCACUUAUUUAUUGCAUAUUGGAUGGAUGCAUAUGAUUGACAUGCAUACAGGGACAUGUUAUUUUCGGGCUGACGAUCUAUCAUGAUAGGAGGUCUUGGUUGAUACUGUCGGGAGGUUCCAGUCGCUAGUCCCCCAUCAAUUCAUGUCGCGACAAUUUUUGGUUUACGGGCUUGGAUUCCUUGUUUGUGUUGAUAUACUAUGUUGAUUUAUAUACUUGUGAUGUUGGAUUGUACUCGAGGAUUUUAUCGACUUCUGGUCUACUGCAUUUAUUUUUUUCCCGCUGCGUUA